UUUCCUCCUCUGAAGCAUCUUCACUAAUUGGAUCAGGGUCAGGUGUGUCCAGAAUGUAAGACAACUUUUCUUGCAUAAGCACUAUACGCAAGUUUCUCAGCCAGUCCACAUAAUUGGAACCAGUCAGCUUAUUUGCAUCAAGGAUGCAACGUAGUGAGAGUGAAGUAGCCAUAAUGUAGAGUUUUAAUCUAUAAGAAUUAAGAAUAAUCGUAUAAGCAAAUGAUUCAUGGAGACAUGUAUAACUAGAUGAGGUCUUUUUAUUCUAGUUAUUGCUCCCACUAUUUUAUCAUAUACCAUAGCCC
rnacentral:lncRNA from 1 species